rnacentral:rRNA from 1 species
GACGAACGCUGGCGGCAUGCCUAACACAUGCAAGUCGAACGGAGAUUAUUUCGGUAAUCUUAGUGGCGAACGGGUGAGUAACGCGUGGGCAACCUGCCCUCUAGAUGGGGACAACAUCCCGAAAGGGGUGCUAAUACCGAAUGUGACAGCAAUCUCGCAUGAGGAUGCUGUGAAAGAUGGCCUCUAUUUAUAAGCUAUCGCUAGAGGAUGGGCCUGCGUCUGAUUAGCUAGUUGGUGGGGUAACGGCCUACCAAGGCGAUGAUCAGUAGCCGGUCUGAGGGGAUGAACGGCCACAUUGGGACUGAGACACGGCCCAGACUCCUACGGGAGGCAGCAGUGGGGAAUCUUCCGCAAUGGGCGAAAGCCUGACGGAGCAAUGCCGCGUGAGUGAUGAAGGAAUUCGUUCCGUAAAGCUCUUUUGUUUAUGACGAAUGUGCAGAUUGUGAACAAUGAUCUGUAAUGACGGUAGUAAACGAAUAAGCCACGGCUAACUACGUG